GACGAACGCUGGCGGCGCGCCUAACACAUGCAAGUCGAACGAGCGAGAGAGAGCUUGCUUUCUCGAGCGAGUGGCGAACGGGUGAGUAACGCGUGAGGAACCUGCCUCAAAGAGGGGGACAACAGUUGGAAACGACUGCUAAUACCGCAUAAGCCCACGGUGCCGCAUGGCACAGAGGGAAAAGGAGCAAUCCGCUUUGAGAUGGCCUCGCGUCCGAUUAGCUAGUUGGUGAGGUAACGGCCCACCAAGGCGACGAUCGGUAGCCGGACUGAGAGGUUGAACGGCCACAUUGGGACUGAGACACGGCCCAGACUCCUACGGGAGGCAGCAGUGGGGAAUAUUGCACAAUGGGGGAAACCCUGAUGCAGCGACGCCGCGUGGAGGAAGAAGGUCUUCGGAUUGUAAACUCCUGUUGUUGGGGAAGAUAAUGACGGUACCCAACAAGGAAGUGACGGCUAACUACGUGCCAGCAGCCGCGGUAAAACGUAGGUCACAAGCGUUGUCCGGAAUUACUGGGUGUAAAGGGAGCGCAGGCGGGAAGACAAGUUGGAAGUGAAAUCUAUGGGCUCAACCCAUAAACUGCUUUCAAAACUGUUUUUCUUGAGUAGUGCAGAGGUAGGCGGAAUUCCCGGUGUAGCGGUGGAAUGCGUAGAUAUCGGGAGGAACACCAGUGGCGAAGGCGGCCUACUGGGCACCAACUGACGCUGAGGCUC
rnacentral:rRNA from 1 species